rnacentral:rRNA from 1 species
CAGCCGCCGCGGUAAUACGUAGGGUCCGAGCAUUGUCCGGAAUUAUUGGGCGUAAAGGGCUCGUAGGCGGUUUGUUGCGUCGGGAGUGAAAACCUACAGCUUAACUGUGGGCUUGCUUUCGAUACGGGCAGACUUGAGGCAUUCAGGGGAGAACGGAAUUCCUGGUGUAGCGGUGAAAUGCGCAGAUAUCAGGAGGAACACCGGUGGCGAAGGCGGUUCUCUGGGAAUGUUCUGACGCUGAGGAGCGAAAGUGUGGGGAGCGAACAGGAUUAGAUACCCCCGUAGUCCCUGUCUCUUAUAC